AACGAACGCUGGCGGCAGGCUUAACACAUGCAAGUCGAGCGCCCCGCAAGGGGAGCGGCAGUCAGGUGAGUAACGCGUGGGAAUCUACCCAUCUCUACGGAAUAACGCAUGGAAACGUGUGCUAAUACCGUAUACGUCCUUCGGGAGAAAGAUUUAUCGGAGAUGGAUGAGCCCGCGUUGGAUUAGCUAGUUGGUGGGGUAAAGGCCUACCAAGGCGACGAUCCAUAGCUGGUCUGAGAGGAUGAUCAGCCACACUGGGACUGAGACACGGCCCAGAGUCCUACGGGGGGCAGCAGUGGGGAAUAUUGGACAAUGGGCGCAAGCCUGAUCCAGCCAUGCCGCGUGAGUGAUGAAGGCCCUAGGGUUGUAAAGCUCUUUCACCGGUGAAGAUAAUGACGGUAACCGGAGAAGAAGCCCCGGCUAACUUCGUGCCAGCCGCCGCGGUAAUAC
rnacentral:rRNA from 1 species